rnacentral:tRNA from 1 species
GCCCCCAUAGCUUAAUUGGUAGAGCAGAUCCCUCUUAAGGAUAAGGUUCCAGGUUCGAGUCCUGGUGGGGGCA